AUACGGAGGGUGCAAGCGUUAUUCGGAAUCACUGGGCGUAAAGGACGCGUAGGCGGGUUGGCAAGUCAGAUGUGGAAUCCUACAGCUUAACUGUAGAACUGCAUUUGAAACUGCUAACCUAGAGUAUGGGAGGGGGAGAUGGAAUUAGUGGUGUAGGGGUAAAAUCCGUAGAUAUCACUAGGAAUACCGAAAGCGAAGGCGAUCUCCUGGAACAUAACUGACGCUAAGGCGUGAAAGCGUGGGGAGCAAACAGGAUUAGAAACCCUAGUAGUCC
rnacentral:rRNA from 1 species